rnacentral:rRNA from 1 species
UACGUAGGGGGCUAGCGUUGUCCGGAAUCAUUGGGCGUAAAGCGCGUGUAGGCGGCCCGGUAAGUCCGCUGUGAAAGUCGGGGGCUCAACCCUCGGAUGCCGGUGGAUACUGUCGGGCUCGAGUACGGAAGAGGCGAGUGGAAUUCCUGGUGUAGCGGUGAAAUGCGCAGAUAUCAGGAGGAACACCGAUUGCGAAGGCAGCUCGCUGGGACGUGACUGACGCUGAGACGCGAAAGCGUGGGGAGCGAACAGG